rnacentral:rRNA from 1 species
UACGAAGGGGGCUAGCGUUGUUCGGAAUUACUGGGCGUAAAGCGCACGUAGGCGGACUUGUAAGUCAGGGGUGAAAUCCCGGGGCUCAACCCCGGAACUGCCUUUGAUACUGCAAGUCUAGAGGUCGAGAGAGGUGAGUGGAAUUCCGAGUGUAGAGGUGAAAUUCGUAGAUAUUCGGAGGAACACCAGUGGCGAAGGCGGCUCACUGGCUCGAUACUGACGCUGAGGUGAGAAAGCGUGGGGAGCAAACAGG